rnacentral:rRNA from 1 species
GGGUUGUGAGGUUAAGCGACUAAGCGUACACGGUGGAUGCCCUGGCAGUCAGAGGCGAUGAAGGGCGUGCUAAUCUGCGAUAAGCGCCGGUAAGGUGAUAUGAACCGUUAUAACCGGCGAUACCCGAAUGGGGAAACCCAGUGUGAUUCGUCACACUAUCAUUAACUGAAUCCAUAGGUUAAUGAGGCGAACCGGGGGAACUGAAACAUCUAAGUACCCCGAGGAAAAGAAAUCAACCGAGAUUCCCCCAGUAGCGGCGAGCGAACGGGGAGGAGCCCAGAGCCUGAAUCAGCAUGUGUGUUAGUGGAAGCGUCUGGAAAGGCGCGCGAUACAGGGUGACAGCCCCGUACACAAAAGCGCAUGUGCUGUGAGCUCGAUGAGUAGGGCGGGACACGUGGUAUCCUGUCUGAAUAUGGGGGGACCAUCCUCCAAGGCUAAAUACUCCUGACUGACCGAUAGUGAACCAGUACCGUGAGGGAAAGGCGAAAAGAACCCCGGCGAGGGGAGUGAAAAAGAACCUGAAACCGUGUACGUACAAGCAGUGGGAGCNNNNNNNNNNNNNNNNNNNNNNNNNNNNNNNNNNNNGGGCGUUAAGUUGCAGGGUAUAGACCCGAAACCCGGUGAUCUAGCCAUGGGCAGGUUGAAGGUUGGGUAACACUAACUGGAGGACCGAACCGACUAAUGUUGAAAAAUUAGCGGAUGACCUGUGGCUGGGGGUGAAAGGCCAAUCAAACCGGGAGAUAGCUGGUUCUCCCCGAAAGCUAUUUAGGUAGCGCCUCGUGAAUUCAUCUCCGGGGGUAGAGCACUGUUUCGGCUAGGGGGCCAUCCCGGCUUACCAACCCGAUGCAAACUGCGAAUACCGGAGAAUGUUAUCACGGGAGACACACGGCGGGUGCUAACGUCCGUCGUGAAGAGGGAAACAACCCAGACCGCCAGCUAAGGUCCCAAAGUCAUGGUUAAGUGGGAAACGAUGUGGGAAGGCCCAGACAGCCAGGAUGUUGGCUUAGAAGCAGCCAUCAUUUAAAGAAAGCGUAAUAGCUCACUGGUCGAGUCGGCCUGCGCGGAAGAUGUAACGGGGCUAAACCAUGCACCGAAGCUGCGGCAGCGACACUGUGUGUUGUUGGGUAGGGGAGCGUUCUGUAAGCCUGCGAAGGUGGCCUGUGAGGGUUGCUGGAGGUAUCAGAAGUGCGAAUGCUGACAUAAGUAACGAUAAAGCGGGUGAAAAGCCCGCUCGCCGGAAGACCAAGGGUUCCUGUCCAACGUUAAUCGGGGCAGGGUGAGUCGACCCCUAAGGCGAGGCCGAAAGGCGUAGUCGAUGGGAAACGGGUUAAUAUUCCCGUACUUGGUGUUACUGCGAAGGGGGGACGGAGAAGGCUAUGUUGGCCGGGCGACGGUUGUCCCGGUUUAAGCGUGUAGGUGUGUGUUCCAGGUAAAUCCGGUUCACUUUAACACUGAGGCGUGACGACGAGGCACUACGGUGCUGAAGCAACAAAUGCCCUGCUUCCAGGAAAAGCCUCUAAGCAUCAGGUAACAUCAAAUCGUACCCCAAACCGACACAGGUGGUCAGGUAGAGAAUACCAAGGCGCUUGAGAGAACUCGGGUGAAGGAACUAGGCAAAAUGGUGCCGUAACUUCGGGAGAAGGCACGCUGACACGUAGGUGAAGUGAUUUACUCAUGGAGCUGAAGUCAGUCGAAGAUACCAGCUGGCUGCAACUGUUUAUUAAAAACACAGCACUGUGCAAACACGAAAGUGGACGUAUACGGUGUGACGCCUGCCCGGUGCCGGAAGGUUAAUUGAUGGGGUCAGCGCAAGCGAAGCUCCUGAUCGAAGCCCCGGUAAACGGCGGCCGUAACUAUAACGGUCCUAAGGUAGCGAAAUUCCUUGUCGGGUAAGUUCCGACCUGCACGAAUGGCGUAAUGAUGGCCAGGCUGUCUCCACCCGAGACUCAGUGAAAUUGAACUCGCUGUGAAGAUGCAGUGUACCCGCGGCAAGACGGAAAGACCCCGUGAACCUUUACUAUAGCUUGACACUGAACAUUGAGCCUUGAUGUGUAGGAUAGGUGGGAGGCUUUGAAGUGUGGACGCCAGUCUGCAUGGAGCCGACCUUGAAAUACCACCCUUUAAUGUUUGAUGUUCUAACGUGGACCCGUUACCCGGGUUGCGGACAGUGUCUGGUGGGUAGUUUGACUGGGGCGGUCUCCUCCUAAAGAGUAACGGAGGAGCACGAAGGUUGGCUAAUCCUGGUCGGACAUCAGGAGGUUAGUGCAAUGGCAUAAGCCAGCUUGACUGCGAGCGUGACGGCGCGAGCAGGUGCGAAAGCAGGUCAUAGUGAUCCGGUGGUUCUGAAUGGAAGGGCCAUCGCUCAACGGAUAAAAGGUACUCCGGGGAUAACAGGCUGAUACCGCCCAAGAGUUCAUAUCGACGGCGGUGUUUGGCACCUCGAUGUCGGCUCAUCACAUCCUGGGGCUGAAGUAGGUCCCAAGGGUAUGGCUGUUCGCCAUUUAAAGUGGUACGCGAGCUGGGUUUAGAACGUCGUGAGACAGUUCGGUCCCUAUCUGCCGUGGGCGCUGGAGAACUGAGGGGGGCUGCUCCUAGUACGAGAGGACCGGAGUGGACGCAUCACUGGUGUUCGGGUUGUCAUGCCAAUGGCACUGCCCGGUAGCUAAAUGCGGAAGAGAUAAGUGCUGAAAGCAUCUAAGCACGAAACUUGCCCCGAGAUGAGUUCUCCCUGAGACUUAGAGUCUCCUGAAGGAACGUUGAAGACGACGACGUUGAUAGGCCGGGUGUGUAAGCGCAGCGAUGCGUUGAGCUAACCGGUACUAAUGAACCGUGAGGCUUAACCUUACAACGCCGAAG